UACAGAGGGUGCGAGCGUUAAUCGGAAUCACUGGGCGUAAAGCGCACGUAGGCGGAUUGCUAAGUCAGGGGUGAAAUCCUGGAGCUCAACUCCAGAACUGCCUUUGAUACUGGCGAUCUUGAGUCCGGGAGAGGUGAGUGGAACUGCGAGUGUAGAGGUGAAAUUCGUAGAUAUUCGCAAGAACACCAGUGGCGAAGGCGGCUCACUGGCCCGGUACUGACGCUGAGGUGCGAAAGCGUGGGGAGCAAACAGG
rnacentral:rRNA from 1 species